rnacentral:rRNA from 1 species
UGGGGAAUAUUGCACAAUGGGGGAAACCCUGAUGCAGCGACGCCGCGUGGAGGAAGAAGGUCUUCGGAUUGUAAACUCCUGUUGUUGAGGAAGAUAAUGACGGUACUCAACAAGGAAGUGACGGCUAACUACGUGCCAGCAGCCGCGGUAAAACGUAGGUCACAAGCGUUGUCCGGAAUUACUGGGUGUAAAGGGAGCGCAGGCGGGAAGACAAGUUGGAAGUGAAAUCCAUGGGCUCAACCCAUGAACUGCUUUCAAAACUGUUUUUCUUGAGUAGUGCAGAGGUAGGCGGAAUUCCCGGUGUAGCGGUGGAAUGCGUAGAUAUCGGGAGGAACACCAGUGGCGAAGGCGGCCUACUGGGCACCAACUGACGCUGAGGCUCGAAAGUGUGGGUAGCAAACAGGAUUAGAUACCCUGGUAGUCCACACCGUAAACGAUGAUUACUAGGUGUUGGAGGAUUGACCCCUUCAGUGCCGCAGUUAACACAAUAAGUAAUCCACCUGGGGAGUACGACCGCAAGGUUGAAACUCAAAGGAAUUGACGGGGGCCCGCACAAGCAGUGGAGUAUGUGGUUUAAUUCGACGCAACGCGAAGAACCUUACCAAGUCUUGACAUCCUGCGACGGACAUAGAAAUAUGUUUUUCCUUCGGGACGCAGAGACAGGUGGUGCAUGGUUGUCGUCAGCUCGUGUCGUGAGAUGUUGGGUUAAGUCCCGCAACGAGCGCAACCCUUAUGGUCAGUUACUACGCAAGAGGACUCUGGCCAGACUGCCGUUGACAAAACGGAGGAAGGUGGGGAUGACGUCAAAUCAUCAUGCCCUUUAUGACUUGGGCUACACACGUACUACAAUGGCGUUAAACAAAGAGAAGCAAGACCGCGAGGUGGAGCAAAACUCAGAAACAACGUCCCAGUUCGGACUGCAGGCUGCAACUCGCCUGCACGAAGUCGGAAUUGCUAGUAAUCGUGGAUCAGCAUGCCACGGUGAAUACGUUCCC